rnacentral:lncRNA from 1 species
AAGAAUUUGACUAAACGAAUGUAUAUAACUUAUAAAACAGGAAUCCGAAAAUGUUAUUGGUGGAAUGAACUUUUUUUUAACUGUACGGUUCACAAGUGGUCUUCUUUCUUCUGAACAACCAAAGAAGUUUUACAGACACACGUGAAUGCCCAAACGAAUAAACACUCUCUCGUGACACAUUAUAAUUUUUUUUUUUACUUUUGUUAUCUUCGUUUCUUACAGAAGUAGCAGUUAAUAGUUUUUGUCUAUAUACAAAUCAUGAAUUUCAUAUUUACUUUUUGGAAAAAGGAAAAGAUUC